rnacentral:misc_RNA from 1 species
GAUGAAGAACGCAGCGAAAUGCGAUAAGUAAUGUGAAUUGCAGAAUUCAGUGAAUCAUCGAAUCUUUGAACGCACAUUGCGCCCCCUGGUAUUCCGGGGGGCAUGCCUGUCCGAGCGUCAUUACAACCCUCAAGCUCAGCUUGGUAUUGGGCCCCGCCGCUUCGGCGGGCCCUAAAGUCAGUGGCGGUGCCGUCCGGCUCCGAGCGUAGUAAUUCUUCUCGCUCUGGAGGCCCGGUCGUGUGCUUGCCAGCAACCCCCAAUUUUUUUCAGGUUGACCUCGGAUCAGGUAGGGAUACCCGCUGAACUUAAGCAUAUCAAUAAGCAGGA